ACUCCUACGGGAGGCAGCAGUGGGGAAUAUUGCACAAUGGGCGCAAGCCUGAUGCAGCCAUGCCGCGUGUAUGAAGAAGGCCUUCGGGUUGUAAAGUACUUUCAGCAGUGAGGAAGGUGGGUAUGUUAAUAGCAUACUCAUUUGACGUUAGCUGCAGAAGAAGCACCGGCUAACUCCGUGCCAGCAGCCGCGGUAAUACGGAGGGUGCAAGCGUUGUCCGGAUUUAUUGGGUUUAAAGGGUGCGUAGGCGGCCUGUUAAGUCAGUGGUGAAAGGUAUCAGCUCAACUGAUGACGUGCCAUUGAAACUGGCGGGCUUGAGUACAGACGAGGUAGGCGGAAUUUAUGGUGUAGCGGUGAAAUGCAUAGAUACCAUAAAGAACACCGAUAGCGAAGGCAGCUUACUAGGCUGAGACUGACGCUGAGGCACGAAAGCGUGGGGAGCGAACAGGAUUAGA
rnacentral:rRNA from 1 species